rnacentral:rRNA from 1 species
AAGUCGAACGCACAGCGAAAGGUGCUUGCACCUUUCAAGUGAGUGGCGAACGGGUGAGUAACACGUGGACAACCUGCCUCAAGGCUGGGGAUAACAUUUGGAAACAGAUGCUAAUACCGAAUAAAACUUAGUGUCGCAUGACACAAAGUUAAAAGGCGCUUCGGCGUCACCUAGAGAUGGAUCCGCGGUGCAUUAGUUAGUUGGUGGGGUAAAGGCCUACCAAGACAAUGAUGCAUAGCCGAGUUGAGAGACUGAUCGGCCACAUUGGGACUGAGACACGGCCCAAACUCCUACGGGAGGCUGCAGUAGGGAAUCUUCCACAAUGGGCGAAAGCCUGAUGGAGCAACGCCGCGUGUGUGAUGAAGGCUUUCGGGUCGUAAAGCACUGUUGUAUGGGAAGAACAGCUAGAAUAGGAAAUGAUUUUAGUUUGACGGUACCAUACCAGAAAGGGACGGCUAAAUACGUGCCAGCAGCCGCGGUAAUACGUAUGUCCCGAGCGUUAUCCGGAUUUAUUGGGCGUAAAGCGAGCGCAGACGGUUUAUUAAGUCUGAUGUGAAAGCCCGGAGCUCAACUCCGGAAUGGCAUUGGAAACUGGUUAACUUGAGUGCAGUAGAGGUAAGUGGAACUCCAUGUGUAGCGGUGGAAUGCGUAGAUAUAUGGAAGAACACCAGUGGCGAAGGCGGCUUACUGGACUGCAACUGACGUUGAGGCUCGAAAGUGUGGGUAGCAAACAGGAUUAGAUACCCUGGUAGUCCACACCGUAAACGAUGAACACUAGGUGUUAGGAGGUUUCCGCCUCUUAGUGCCGAAGCUAACGCAUUAAGUGUUCCGCCUGGGGGAGUACGACCGCAAGGUUGAAACUCAAAGGAAUUGACGGGGGACCCGCACAAGCGGUGGGAGCAUGUGGUUUUAAUUCGAAGCAACGCGAAAGAACCUUACCAGGGUCUUGGACAUCCUUUUGAAGCUUUUUAGAAGAUAGAAAGUGUUUCUCUUUCGGAAAACAAAGUUGACAAGGUGGGUGCAUGGGUCGUUCGUCAGCCUCGUGUUCGUGARAAUGUUUGGGUUUAAGUUCCCGGCAAACGAAGCGCCAACCCCUUAAUUGGUUAGUUUGCCCAGCCAUUUCAGAAUGGGGCCACUUCUAGGCGGARAACUGGCCGGGUGAACMAAACCCGGAAGGAAAGGGCGGGGGAACGAACGUUCRGA